GAUCAUAAAGAAGCUUCGGCGCUAGCCGGAGCGCACUUACACACUGAGUAUAACUUCUAGGVUAAUACACAUACACAAACACAGAUUACUAAAUCUCCUCCCAACGGAUCUCUUGGCUCUCGCGACGAUGAAGAACGCAGCGAUCCGCGAUACGUCCUGGAAGCCGCCGUGAACCAUCAAUUUUCGAACGCACAUUGCAUACAGGGAGGGUGGGGUGAGUCUACUCUCACUAUCGUGGUUUAAAUACAAAGGAUGACUAAUACAAUCGUCAGCCCCCAAAUUUUCUCCCCCGCCCCCUCAGAU
rnacentral:misc_RNA from 1 species